rnacentral:misc_RNA from 1 species
GAUGAAGAACGCAGCGAAACGCGAUAGGUAAUGUGAAUUGCAGAAUUCCGUGAAUCAUCGAAUCUUUGAACGCACAUUGCGCCCGCCAGUAUUCUGGCGGGCAUGCCUGUUCGAGCGUCAUUACAACCCUCAGGCCCCCGGGCCUGGCGUUGGGGAUCGGCGGAGCCCCCCGUGGGCACACGCCGUCCCCCAAAUGCAGUGGCGGUCCCGCCGCAGCUUCCAUCGCGUAGUAGCUAACACCUCGCGACUGGAGAGCGGCGCGGCCACGCCGUAAAACACCCAACUCUUCUGAAGUUGACCUCGAAUCAGGUAGGAAUACCCGCUGAACUUAAGCAUAUCAAUAAGCGGAGGA